UAUGAUGCCUCACUUGUAUAUGGACAAUUUAGACUACUGUAAGCGUUUACUAAUAGGGGAAAAUGUGGAAAGCAUACGCUCGUUGAAAAUCCAUAUUUAAAUUCAACAGUUUCGUCCCAGUAAGAGCACGAAGCGGAGAGGAGAAGGUGAAGAGAGUUGCUGAGCUUGAUGCUAUGCGAAGGCUGGGUAUGCUUUUCCUGGGCUGCAGAAAAUCUUUAAGAUUUCAACACGACCAUAUUUGAUCGAUCUGGAAGUGCUCAGGUUGGUAACAUCUGGACAUUGGUGUUCGAGUGAGGGAAGAGAAGGGAUGGGGUUAGCAGAGGUGCUGCUCUUACUAUUUCUGACAUUGGGACCAAUGGGUUCGACAGGAGCAGAAAAUACAUCCACGGACGUAACUUUUCCCCUCCCUUCCAAACUGCCCAAAAAGCUGUGGUAACAUCAGCUUCGAGUACCCUUUCGGUAUAGGCAGCGGCUGCUUUCGUCCAGGUUUUAAUCCUACCUGCAUAAACCAAACCACUGAUCCUCCUGCUCGUAGCCUCUUCUUGGGCGAUGGCACCGUUGAGGUCAUUGAUUUUGAUAUGGACAAUGGAAUCGUGUACGUGAAAACUCCAAUUGUCACCAUGGGUGUCGAUGAGGACUAUUUCAGCCACACAUUGAUUGAUCUGAGGAAUUUCCCCUUCUCUUUUAACUUGGAGGCAAACUUUACAGACAGUUACACUAUUUCAAUGGCAUAUAACUAUAUUUUUGUAGCCGGUUGCAGCGCUAUUGCCGAUCUAGUUGAUCUUGCUACCAAUAAAACCAUUCAUACUUGCUCAA